rnacentral:rRNA from 1 species
UACGUAGGCAGCGAGCGUUGUUCGGAGUUACUGGGCGUAAAGCGUGCGUAGGCGGUGUCUUAAGUUUGUUGUGAAAUCUCCCGGCUUAACCGGGAGGGUGCGGCGAAUACUGAGAUGCUGGAGUGCCGGAGAGGUAAGCGGAAUUCCUGGUGUAGCGGUGAAAUGCGUAGAUAUCAGGAGGAACACCUGCGGUGUAGACGGCUUACUGGACGGUAACUGAAGCUGAGGCACGAAAGCGUGGGUAGCAAACAGG